AUCCUCAAUCACCGCCUGUAAUUGUGUAAAAAUGACUUAUUUUACCGUGAUUUUACUACUGAAGAGUUAAAGCGCAUUCACGAGUAUAAUUUUGAUCAUCCAGAUGCUUUUGAUAUUGAGCAGCUUCUAGAUUGUAUUCAGAAGCUUAAAGUAGGAACUCUGUUCAUGUCCACAGCUGAAACUGUCAUGCAACACUUGCAUCACCAAUAGACAACCAAGUCGCAAAAGAACCUCUUUCAGGACGAACUGGCUGCAAAAAAUAAAAUAAAAAAACCAAGUAUGGCAUCAUAACUUUCAUUCAUUUUUACAUCUAACUUGAUAUGUAAAAUUUUCAAUGCUUUUGAUGGUCACUUUCUUGCCAUAUAAAGACAAAGAUAGGAAAAAAUGGAUCUAUGAAAUCAAGACAUGAA